GAUGAACGCUGGCGGCAUGCCUAAUACAUGCAAGUCGAGCGAACAGACGAGGAUCUUUCUCCUCUGACGUUACCGGCGGACGGGUGAUUAACACGUGGAUAACCUACCUAUAAGACUGGGAUAACUUCGGGAAACCGGAUCUAAUACCGGAUCAUAUAUUGAACCGCAUGGUUCAAUAGUGAAAGACGGUUUUGCUGUCACUUAUACAUCGUUCCACGCCGCAUUAGCUAGUUGGUAAGGUAACGGCUUACCAAGGCAACGAUGCGUAGCCGAUCUGAGAGGGUGAUCGGUCACACUGGAACUGAGACACGGUCCAGACUCCUACGGGAGGCAGCAGUAGGGAAUAUUCCGCAAUGGGCGAAAGCCUGACGGAGCAACGCCGCGUGAGUGAUGAAGGUCUUCGGAUCGUAAAGCUCUGUAAGUAGGGAAGAACAAAUGUGUAAGUAAAUAUGCCCGUCUUGACGGUACCUAAUCAGAAAGCAACGGCUAACUUCGUG
rnacentral:rRNA from 1 species